ACGAACGCUGGCGGCGUGCUUAACACAUGCCAGUCGCACGGAAAGGCCCUGCUUUUGUGGGGUGCUCGAGUGGCGAACGGGUGAGUAACACGUGAGUAACCUGCCCUUGACUUUGGGAUAACUUCAGGAAACUGGGGCUAAUACCGGAUAGGAGCUCCUGCUGCAUGGUGGGGGUUGGAAAGUUUCGGCGGUUGGGGAUGGACUCGCGGCUUAUCAGCUUGUUGGUGGGGUAGUGGCUUACCAAGGCUUUGACGGGUAGCCGGCCUGAGAGGGUGACCGGCUACAUUGGGACUGAGAUACGGCCCAGACUCCUACGGGAGGCAGCAGUGGGGAAUAUUGCACAAUGGGCGGAAGCCUGAUGCAGCAACGCCGCGUGCGGGAUGACGGCCUUCGGGUUGUAAACCGCUUUCGCCUGUGACGAAGCGUGAGUGACGGUAAUGGGUAAAGAAGCACCGGCUAACUACGUG
rnacentral:rRNA from 1 species